rnacentral:rRNA from 1 species
CCUACGGGAGGCAGCAGUGGGGAAUCUUGCACAAUGGGGGAAACCCUGAUGCAGCGACGCCGCGUGAGUGAAGAAGUAUCUCGGUACGUAAAGCUCUAUCAGCAGGGAAGAAAAUGACGGUACCUGACUAAGAAGCCCCGGCUAACUACGUGCCAGCAGCCGCGGUAAUACGUAGGGGGCAAGCGUUAUCCGGAUUUACUGGGUGUAAAGGGAGCGUAGACGGCAGCACAAGUCUGGAGUGAAAUCCCGGGGCUUAACCCCGGAACUGCUUUUGAAACUGGGCGGCUGGAGUGCAGGAGGGGUAAGCGGAAUUCCUAGUGUAGCGGUGAAAUGCGUAGAUAUUAGGAGGAACACCGGUGGCGAAGGUGGCUUACUGGAAUGUAACUGACGUUGAGGCUCGAAAGCGUGGGGAGCAAACAGGAUUAGAUACCCCUGUAGUC